AUUGAACGCUGGCGGCAGGCCUAACACAUGCAAGUCGAGCGGAUGAAGGGAGCUUGCUCCUGGUUUCAGCGGCGGACGGGUGAGUAAUGCCUAGGAAUCUGCCUGGUAGUGGGGGCUAACGUCCGGAAACGGGCGCUAAUACCGCAUACGUCCUGAGGGUGAAAGUGGGGGAUCUUCGGACCUCACGCUAUCAGAUGAGCCUAGGUCGGAUUAGCUAGUUGGUGGGGUAAAGGCCUACCAAGGCGACGAUCCGUAACUGGUCUGAGAGGAUGAUCAGUCACACUGGAACUGAGACACGGUCCAGACUCCUACGGGAGGCAGCAGUGGGGAAUAUUGGACAAUGGGCGAAAGCCUGAUCCAGCCAUGCCGCGUGUGUGAAGAAGGUCUUCGGAUUGUAAAGCACUUUAAGUUGGGAGGAAGGGCAGUAAGUUAAUACCUUGCUGUUUUGACGUUACCAACAGAAUAAGCACCGGCUAACUUCGUG
rnacentral:rRNA from 1 species